rnacentral:rRNA from 1 species
UUGACCUCAAAUCAGGUAGGACUACCCGCUGAACUUAAGCAUAUCAAUAAGCGGAGGAAAAGAAACUAACAAGGAUUCCCCUAGUAACUGCGAGUGAAGCGGGAAAAGCUCAAAUUUAAAAUCUGGCGGUCCUUGUGGCUGUCCGAGUUGUAAUCUAGAGAAGUGCUAUCCGCGCUGGACCGUGUACAAGUCUCCUGGAACGGAGCGUCAUAGAGGGUGAGAAUCCCGUCUUUGACACGGACUACCAGGGCUUUGUGAUGUGCUCUCAAAGAGUCGAGUUGUUUGGGAAUGCAGCUCUAAAUGGGUGGUAAAUUCCAUCUAAAGCUAAAUAUUGGCGAGAGACCGAUAGCGAACAAGUACCGUGAGGGAAAGAUGAAAAGAACUUUGGAAAGAGAGUUAAACAGUACGUGAAAUUGUUGAAAGGGAAACGCUUGAAGUCAGUCGCGUUGGCCGGGGAUCAACCUUGCUCUUUUGCUUGGCGUACUUUCCGGUCGACGGGUCAGCAUCAAUUUUGACCGGUGGAUAAAGGCCAGGGGAAUGUGGCAUCUUCGGAUGUGUUAUAGCCCUUGGUCGCAUACAUCGAUUGGGAUUGAGG